rnacentral:tRNA from 1 species
CCUGGUGGCUCAGACGGUAAAGCGUCUGCCUGCAAUGCAGGGGACCUGGGUUCAAUCCCUGGGUCAGGA